AGAGUUUGAUCAUGGCUCAGGAUGAACGCUGGCGGUCUGCUUAACACAUGCAAGUCGAACGAAUCCCUUCGGGGAUUAGUGGCGGACGGGUGAGUAACGCGUGAGAAUCUACCAAAAGGACUGGGACAACCACUGGAAACGGUGGCUAAUACCGGAUGAGCCGCAACGUAAAAGAGGAAACUCGCCUUUUGAGGAGCUCGCGUCUGAUUAGCUAGUUGGUGAGGUAAAGGCUCACCAAGGCGGCGAUCAGUAGCUGGUCUGAGAGGAUGAUCAGCCACACUGGGACUGAGACACGGCCCAGACUCCUACGGGAGGCAGCAGUGGGGAAUUUUCCGCAAUGGGCGAAAGCCUGACGGAGCAAGACCGCGUGAGGGAGGAAGGCUCUUGGGUUGUAAACCUCUUUUGUCAGGGAAGAACACAAUGACGGUACCUGAAGAAUCAGCAUCGGCUAACUCCGUGCCAGCAGCCGCGGUAAUACGGAGGAUGCAAGCGUUAUCCGGAAUUAUUGGGCGUAAAGCGUCCGCAGGUGGCACUUCAAGUCUGCUGUCAAAGACCGGGGCUUAACCCUGGAAAGGCAGUGGAAACUGAAGCGCUAGAGUGUGGCAGGGGUAGAGGGAAUUCCCGGUGUAGCGGUGAAAUGCGUAGAGAUCGGGAAGAACAUCGGUGGCGAAAGCGCUCUACUGGGCCACAACUGACACUCAGGGACGAAAGCUAGGGGAGCGAAUGGGAUUAGAUACCCCCGUAGUCC
rnacentral:rRNA from 1 species